ensembl:lncRNA
GGUGCUGUACAGAUUCACUGACACGAAUCAGUGCUUCAAUUCAAAACAGCAUGUAUCAGGAAAACGCUGGAAGAGAAUGAAAAUGGAAUCAAUAAAGGCAUCUCUGUAUCUGUAAAAGUCCAACAGUGCACACGCACAGCUCAUUUUGUUAUCGGUGGAUUACUAGGAAACUUUAUCACAUACAUUUCUUUUGGUACUGUGGGUUCCUCAAUCACGCUCUCUUACUCACACUUCAGAUACAUCUGUGCCUGUCAAUCACAUUGAAGGCUGGACCGCCUGCCAGUUCCAGUGAAGGAGGUGUGGUCUCUGUAGUGUCAGUCCCAGUAAAAAUGGUGUGGCUUCUCUAAUGUCAGUCCCAGUGAAAGAGGUGUGGUCUCUGUAGUGUCAGUCCCAGUGAAAGAGGUGUGGUCUCUGUAGUGUCAGUCCCAGUGAAGGAGGUGUGGUCUCUCCAAUGUCGGUCCCAGUGAAGAGUGUGUGGUCUCUGUAGUGUCAGUCCCAGUGAAAGAGGUGUGGUCUCUGUAGUGUCAGUCCCAGUGAAGGAGGUGUGGUCUCUGUAGUGUCAGUCCCAGUGAAGGAGGGGUGGUCUCUGUAGUGUCAGUCCAAGUGAAGAAGGUGUGGCCUUUGUGUCUGUCAGUCCCAGUGAAGGAGGUGUGGUCUCUCUAAUGUCAGUCCCUUUGAAGGAGGUGUGGUCUCUGUAUUGUCAAUCCCAGUGAAGGAGGUGUGGUCUCUGAAGCAUCUGUCCUAGUGAAGGAGGCGUGGCCUCUGUAGUGUCAGUCCUAGUAAAAAAGGUGUGGCCUCUCUACUGUCAGUACUAAUUUAUAAGGCGUGGCCUCCA